GACGAACGCUGGCGGCGUGCUUAACACAUGCAAGUCGAACGAAGUGGCGAACGGUUGAGUAAUACGUGGGUAACCUUCCCUCCUUUUUGGGAUAAGCCUUGGAAACGGGGUCUAAUACCUACUACAGGGGGUUGGGCUCGCGGCCUAUCAGCUUGUUGGUGGGGUGAUGGCCUACCAAGGCGGUGACGGGUAGCUGGUCUGAGAGGAUGAUCAGCCACACUGGGACUGAGACACGGCCCAGACUCCUACGGGAGGCAGCAGUGGGGAAUAUUGCACAAUGGGCGCAAGCCUGAUGCAGCAAUGCCGCGUGUAUGAAGAAGGCUUUAGGGUUGUAAAGUACUUUCAGCGGGGAGGCGUUACCCGAAGAAGAAGCACCGGCUAACUCCGUGCCAGCCGCCGCGGUAAUAC
rnacentral:rRNA from 1 species